UUUACGGAUCAAAGGUGGUGGAGAAGGGGCUAGAGAGAGUCAACAUUCUUGAUUGAAGGGUUGGGGUUUAUGAAAUUGACCUCCUAGUGUAUGUUCAUGCAAAGGAUGUCAAAAUCUUCCGCAUUCAUAAUAUCCUUUGUAUAUCUCCAAUCUCAUUUGCAAGGGAUGUUCACAAGGUUAUCAGACUUUUAGAAGCUGGGAUAAAGUGACAAAAGCAACAUGAUGUUGACGAUGAAUAACUUCUUAAGACUUAUGGGAGCACCUGUGACUGAGG